rnacentral:misc_RNA from 1 species
UUUCCGUAGGUGUACCUGCGGAAGGAUCAUUAUUGUAUAACCGAGGUGCGAGGGCUGUCGCUGACCCGAAAGGUCGUGCACGCCCGAGUGCCCUCACACACAUCCAUCUCACCCCUAUGUGCACCACCGCGUGGGUCCCCCUUUGGCUUGUUCGGAGGGGGGCUUACGUUUUCACACAAACUUUGUAUGCAGUGUAGAAUGUAUUUUUUGUUUUUGCGAUCACGCAAUCAAUACAACUUUCAACAACGGAUCUCUUGGCUCUCGCAUCGAUGAAGAACGAGC